AACGCGAAGAACCUUACCAAGGCUUGACAUAUACCGGAAACGGCCAGAGAUGGUCGCCCCCUUGUGGUCGGUAUACAGGUGGUGCAUGGUUGUCGUCAGCUCGUGUCGUGAGAUGUUGGGUUAAGUCCCGCAACGAGCGCAACCCUCGUUCUGUGUUGCCAGCGGGUUAUGCCGGGGACUCACAGGAGACUGCCGGGGUCAACUCGGAGGAAGGUGGGGACGACGUCAAAUCAUCAUGCCCCUUAUGUCUUGGGCUGCACACGUGCUACAAUGGCCGGUACAAUGAGCUGCGAUACCGCGAGGUGGAGCGAAUCUCAAAAAGCCGGUCUCAGUUCGGAUUGGGGUCUGCAACUCGACCCCAUGAAGUCGGAGUUGCUAGUAAUCGCAGAUCAGCAUUGCUGCGGUGAAUACGUUCCCGGGCCUUGUACACACCGCGCAUA
rnacentral:rRNA from 1 species